UGGGAAACAGGUUAAUAUUCCUGUACUUGGUGUUACUGCGAAGGGGGGACGGAGAAGGCUAUGUUAGCCGGGCGACGGUUGUCCCGGUUUAAGCAUGUAGUCUGGUUAUCCAGGCAAAUCCGGAUAAUCAAGGCUGAGGUGUGAUGACUAGGCACUACGGUGCUGAAGUAACAAAUGCCCUGCUUCCAGGAAAAGCCUCUAAGCAUCAGGUAACAUCAAAUCGUACCCCAAACCG
rnacentral:rRNA from 1 species